rnacentral:lncRNA from 7 species
AGCAGGUGCAGGUUACAGCCGGCCGCGCGUCGCUGUCCGCCAGGCCGUCGCGGGUUGGCAUGUCCUGAUCCUGACGGCAGAAUGGUUGGCUUCGAUACGAUUAUAUUACGGGCUGGGUCGGCCCGCUCCACGCCUCCACCUCAGGUGAAGAGCUCGGGUACGUACAUGUUGGGCGGUGCGUGAAUCGACGAAACACUGGGGGAGAUUCCUCGUCUUUGUUGGGUUUUACCGUACGUCGAUCCAUGGGUACGUACUACUAGUUAGCCCCUUCUGAUAAUGCUAGAUUGCUAGUGAUGAAGAGCAUAUCAUGCCCAAGCGCUUAUUGUAUACUCCUAUUGGCUACCAGCCUAACCAUAUACGGCAAAUAAAUAGGCAUCGUCGUCAACCCUCCGCAGUCGGGAGUCCGUACCAACCAUCGACCGACCUUUAGUUCCGGCUAAACC